rnacentral:rRNA from 1 species
GAAAGUUGCAAAGCACUUUGAAGAGAGAGUUAAAUAGGACGUGAAACCGGUGAGGUGGAAACGGAUAGAGCCAGCGUAUCUGUUCCUGCAUUCAUCUACGUGGUAGUCGCGCGCCCCAGCUCUGGCGACUCCAGAUUGGGACGGAGUUGGGGUUGUACACCGCCCGUGGUGCAUUUGCAGGCGUGUGCGCUGAGCUGUUCGAGGUGUUGGGAUGAACUUGGUUUUGAGGCCAGCUUGCUGGUACCCGGACCGGGGGAGUGCCAUUCGCCUUGGGCUUUUAUGUUGGAUAUGGCUUACGGGCUCGUAUGGGCGCCGAGCUGGUCGUCGGCGGCGGUCGCAUGCGACACGUGCUGUGCGUGCCAGUUCGGUCCUGUGCGAGCUCACAUGUCCCAGGCUCAGUGUAAGAGCUGGUCAUCUAUCCGACCCGUCCUGAAACACGGACCAAGGAGUUUAUCGUGUGCGCAAGUCAUUGGGUGUUGAAAACCCAGAGGCGCAAUGAAAGUGAAGGUAUCCCUCGCGGAGCCGACGUGCGAGCACGGGCACUGCGGUGUCCGAGUGCAGCAUGGCCCCAUCCUGACUGCUUGCAGUGGGGUGGAGGAAGAGCGUACGCGGAGAGACCCGAAAGAUGGUGAACUAUUCCUGAGCAGGAUGAAGCCAGAGGA